CGGAUUGGACAGCGUCAUUACCAUGCAAGUCGGACGAUGAAGCCCGUAAGGGGUGGAUUAGUGGCGAACGGGUGAGUAACACGUGAGCAACCUGCCCUUGACUCUGGGAUAAGCCUGGGAAACUGGGUCUAAUACCGGAUAGGACCCCUUGCCGCAUGGUGGGGGGUGGAAAGCCUUGUGCGGUCUUGGAUGGGCUCGCGGCCUAUCAGCUUGUUGGUGGGGUGAUGGCCUACCAAGGCGACGACGGGUAGCCGGCCUGAGAGGGUGACCGGCCACACUGGGACUGAGACACGGCCCAGACUCCUACGGGAGGCAGCAGUGGGGAAUAUUGCACAAUGGGCGGAAGCCUGAUGCAGCGACGCCGCGUGGGGGAUGACGGCCUUCGGGUUGUAAACCCCUUUCGGCAGGGAACAAGCCCCUUGGGGUGAGGGUACCUGCGGAAGAAGCGCCGGCUAACUACGUGCCAGCAGCCGCGGUAAUACGUAGGGCGCGAGCGUUAUCCGGAAUUAUUGGGCGUAAAGAGCUCGUAGGCGGUUUGUCGCGUCUGCUGUGAAAGCCCGGGGCUCAAACCCCGGGUCUGCAGUGGGUACGGGCAGGCUGGAGUGCAGUAGGGGAGACUGGAAUUCCUGGUGUAGCGGUGAAAUGCGCAGAUAUCAGGAGGAACACCGAUGGCGAAGGCAGGUCUCUGGGCUGUAACUGACGCUGAGGAGCGAAAGCAUGGGGAGCGAACAGGAUUAGAUACCCUGGUAGUCCAUGCCGUAAACGUUGGGCACUAGGUGUGGGGGCCAUUCCACGGUUUCCGCGCCGCAGCUAACGCAUUAAGUGCCCCGCCUGGGGAGUACGGCCGCAAGGCUAAAACUCAAAGGAAUUGACGGGGGCCCGCACAAGCGGCGGAGCAUGCGGAUUAAUUCGAUGCAACGCGAAGAACCUUACCAAGGCUUGACAUGUGCCGGACCGUCCCAGAGAUGGGGCUUCCCUUCGGGGCCGGUUCACAGGUGGUGCAUGGUUGUCGUCAGCUCGUGUCGUGAGAUGUUGGGUUAAGUCCCGCAACGAGCGCAACCCUCGUUCCAUGUUGCCAGCACUUCGGGUGGGGACUCAUGGGAGACUGCCGGGGUCAACUCGGAGGAAGGUGGGGACGACGUCAAAUCAUCAUGCCCCUUAUGUCUUGGGCUUCACGCAUGCUACAAUGGCCGGUACAAAGGGUUGCGAUACUGUGAGGUGGAGCCAAUCCCAGAAAGCCGGUCUCAGUUCGGAUUGGGGUCUGCAACUCGACCCCAUGAAGUCGGAGUCGCUAGUAAUCGCAGAUCAGCAACGCUGCGGUGAAUACGUUCCCGGGCCUUGUACACACCGCCCGUCAAGUCACGAAAGUCGGUAACACCCGAAGCCGGUGGCACAACCCAGCGUGGAGGGAGCGGACGUAGUUGUCUUUGCCC
rnacentral:rRNA from 1 species